ensembl:snRNA U6 U6 spliceosomal RNA
GUGCUCACUUUGGCAGCACAUAUGCUACAACUGGAACAAUACAGAGAUUAGCAUGGACCCUGUGCAAGGAUGACACGCAAAUUCAUGAAGCAUUCCAUAUAUAU